AUUGAACGCUGGCGGCAGGCCUAACACAUGCAAGUCGAGCGGAUGAAGGGAGCUUGCUCCUGGAUUCAGCGGCGGACGGGUGAGUAAUGCCUAGGAAUCUGCCUGGUAGUGGGGGAUAACGUCCGGAAACGGGCGCUAAUACCGCAUACGUCCUGAGGGAGAAAGUGGGUGAUCCUCGGACCUCACGCUAUCAGAUGAGCCUAGGUCGGAUUAGCUAGUUGGUGGGGUAAAGGCCUACCAAGGCGACGAUCCGUAACUGGUCUGAGAGGAUGAUCAGUCACUCUGGAAGUGAGACACGGUCCAGGCUCCUACGGGAGGCAGCAGUGGGGAAUAGUGGACAAUGGGCGAAAGCCUGAUCCAGCCAUGCCGCGUGUGUGAAGAAGGUCUGCGGAUUGUAAAGCACUUUAAGUUGGGAGGAAGGGCAGUAAGUUAAUACCUGGCUGUUUUGACGUUACCAACAGAAUAAGCACCGGCUAACUUCGU
rnacentral:rRNA from 1 species